UCUGGUGUUAUUAAGUGCUUCAGCAGACACAAAUGUAGCAUAUUUUUACUGAUAGCAAUGCACUAUGAGUAAUUAAGCUGGUGUGACCAUCAUUUAUUGAAAAUAUGCUGCAACCUAUGCAUCUGCUUACCAGUAUUGUCCUUGGCAACUUCAACCAAACUUUUAUUUUAGUUGAUUCCACCUUCUAUGUUUUUAGAAAUUCAUUGUUUUUGUAUGCUUAAUUGAGCAGAGCUCGUUCAUAGUGAUCUUCUGCCAAUGACACAAAUGUAGGAAUGAGAUACACAUGCAAUGUAAGAAACAGAGAAAGGAAGCUGAAAGUUGAAAGCAUUAUAUGUUUUUGUGACUAUACACAUUAGUAUUGCCUUAAAAAUUGAAUAAGGAAUAUUUUUAUUUGGUAUGUACCACAAAAUGUGUUCAUCCAGUAGGUGAUGGUUUGGUCAUUCUUCUCCAAGGUGCGGAUAUAUUUGGACUUUUGCAACUAUGCUUGUGCCUGGUUUUACUGAUUACGAGACAUCUCCAGAUGAUUGGUUAUCUGGCCAUAUUUUCCAACUGUAUAAGCUUUGUGAAAUCUUGAGAUCUUCCUCGUUUUAGCUAAUUCAGUGUUCUGUAUAACAGUGAUUUUGCAGAGAUAUUGGAUGUUAACUUAUUCAUAUCCUCAUCCUAAAGAUCAUAUGACAAGUACUUGAUAUAAUUUUGCUUUCAAAAAUGAAAACACCUAGGUGAUUAUCCUAGCUAUCAUAUCUGUACAAGCAAGAUUAUCAUAAUAACUAAGCAAUUUUUUCUUCAUGUUAUUAUACAAUGCCUAAUUUGAUUCAACAAGGAUAAUGAUACUGCAAGGCUUGAAAAUUUUAGACUAUGAUCACUUUGUAUGCCAAGCUGGAAAUUUGACGUGCCUUAAAGCACCUACAGCUGGAGUGGCAAAUCCGGGUGACUCAAACGCCCUGCGGAUGUGUCUACGAGCACUGUCCGGCCAGUCGUCAAAAAUCGCCGUCCACAUCCGUGUUUCUCAUAUCCAAUCCACAUAUGUGUAUCUCAUAUCCACUGACCUGUCAUAUCUUAGGUCUUAUAUAUGCAACCAGUAAAUUAUUUGGGAUGCCUGGCUGUAUGGGUGGCAGCCACCGUCCCUGUUAUUGCCUCCAGGGUUGGUCCGCCCCUCUUCCCAUAUGUCGACGCCGGUCAGUGUGCUCCUGGUUUCUACAGAAGUAGAGGCGACCAGGAGGGCACGUAUGGGUGUGUGCAUGGAAAGGACCACUAUGAUCAUGCUCGAUUUGCUCCGAGCAGGAGGACUAUGCAUCAAUUCCAUCGCCAUCUGUGAGAUCUCCCUCUUCAAGGAUGCGCAACAUCCAAACAUAUGGUUGCAGGACGAGGUGCACACCUGCACCAUGAGAAGUGCAUAUGCCGACUCAUCCCAGAGACCCGAACUUCAAGAACUUUCUCGUCGAGCACCUCAUGCGGAGAGGCUUUGAGAAGUUAGGUUUUCCUCGAGGAGGAUCUUCUAACCAGAAUAAACAUUCUAGCCCAAAGCUCCAUCUCAUAUGGGGACCAACAAUGUACCAUUUUGAUGAUCUCCAUUCCCUGUGAGCAACUUGAUAGAGUCGAGUCCAAGUCCUCCGUUCGGAGCUGAAGCAAGUUGUCGCCUUCGGUCAGGUCGCCCCCUAUUUUUCAUGGUGGAUGAGAUUGGAGGGUGGGGGACAAUACCUACUCUGGAGUCACUAGGUCUAAGUGUGGCAAAGUUAGGUCCAGUUAAAGAAGGAAAUAUGUUUCAUGGAGGAGAGAGUGCAGCUUUGGGAAGAGGUCUUGAGUACUUCUGAAAGAAUGAUCAGUUCAAGGCUAUGAGGUCUGAUUGUGCUUGCAGAUUGGAAUUGUUGAAAACCUUAGCCUUCCUGAUCUAGCUAACAAAGAUGUAUGUUUCAGACAAUUAACAUUCAAGCGUUAGCAUACUUAUACCCCAGUUUCAUGUGGCAAUAACGCGUGGAGGAUGACGGUCACGAGCGCAUUGUCGCAAGCUCACCGGAGGGAGGCACACAUCUCAUCCAAUAGAAAAGCACGCUCCAAAAAAUCCCUAACCCUCCAUGGAGCCAUUGCUAGGGGGCGACGAGAUCAACGCCAC